GGUUAAGCGACUAAGCGUACACGGUGGAUGCCCUGGCAGUCAGAGGCGAUGAAGGACGUGCUAAUCUGCGAUAAGCGUCGGUAAGGUGAUAUGAACCGUUAUAACCGGCGAUUUCCGAAUGGGGAAACCCAGUGUGUUUCGACACACUAUCAUUAACUGAAUCCAUAGGUUAAUGAGGCGAACCGGGGGAACUGAAACAUCUAAGUACCCCGAGGAAAAGAAAUCAACCGAGAUUCCCCCAGUAGCGGCGAGCGAACGGGGAGCAGCCCAGAGCCUGAAUCAGUGUGUGUGUUAGUGGAAGCGUCUGGAAAGGCGCGCGAUACAGGGUGACAGCCCCGUACACAAAAAUGCACAUAUUGUGAGCUCGAUGAGUAGGGCGGGACACGUGGUAUCCUGUCUGAAUAUGGGGGGACCAUCCUCCAAGGCUAAAUACUCCUGACUGACCGAUAGUGAACCAGUACCGUGAGGGAAAGGCGAAAAGAACCCCGGCGAGGGGAGUGAAAAAGAACCUGAAACCGUGUACGUACAAGCAGUGGGAGCACGCUUAGGCGUGUGACUGCGUACCUUUUGUAUAAUGGGUCAGCGACUUAUAUUCUGUAGCAAGGUUAACCGAAUAGGGGAGCCGAAGGGAAACCGAGUCUUAACUGGGCGUUAAGUUGCAGGGUAUAGACCCGAAACCCGGUGAUCUAGCCAUGGGCAGGUUGAAGGUUGGGUAACACUAACUGGAGGACCGAACCGACUAAUGUUGAAAAAUUAGCGGAUGACUUGUGGCUGGGGGUGAAAGGCCAAUCAAACCGGGAGAUAGCUGGUUCUCCCCGAAAGCUAUUUAGGUAGCGCCUCGUGAACUCAUCUCCGGGGGUAGAGCACUGUUUCGGCAAGGGGGUCAUCCCGACUUACCAACCCGAUGCAAACUGCGAAUACCGGAGAAUGUUAUCACGGGAGACACACGGCGGGUGCUAACGUCCGUCGUGAAGAGGGAAACAACCCAGACCGCCAGCUAAGGUCCCAAAGUCAUGGUUAAGUGGGAAACGAUGUGGGAAGGCCCAGACAGCCAGGAUGUUGGCUUAGAAGCAGCCAUCAUUUAAAGAAAGCGUAAUAGCUCACUGGUCGAGUCGGCCUGCGCGGAAGAUGUAACGGGGCUAAACCAUGCACCGAAGCUGCGGCAGCGACGCUGAUGCGUUGUUGGGUAGGGGAGCGUUCUGUAAGCCUGCGAAGGUGUGCUGUGAGGCAUGCUGGAGGUAUCAGAAGUGCGAAUGCUGACAUAAGUAACGAUAAAGCGGGUGAAAAGCCCGCUCGCCGGAAGACCAAGGGUUCCUGUCCAACGUUAAUCGGGGCAGGGUGAGUCGACCCCUAAGGCGAGGCCGAAAGGCGUAGUCGAUGGGAAACAGGUUAAUAUUCCUGUACUUGGUGUUACUGCGAAGGGGGGACGGAGAAGGCUAUGUUGGCCGGGCGACGGUUGUCCCGGUUUAAGCGUGUAGGCUGGUUUUCCAGGCAAAUCCGGAAAAUCAAGGCUGAGGCGUGAUGACGAGGCACUACGGUGCUGAAGCAACAAAUGCCCUGCUUCCAGGAAAAGCCUCUAAGCAUCAGGUAACAUCAAAUCGUACCCCAAACCGACACAGGUGGUCAGGUAGAGAAUACCAAGGCGCUUGAGAGAACUCGGGUGAAGGAACUAGGCAAAAUGGUGCCGUAACUUCGGGAGAAGGCACGCUGAUAUGUAGGUGAGGUCCCUCGCGGAUGGAGCUGAAAUCAGUCGAAGAUACCAGCUGGCUGCAACUGUUUAUUAAAAACACAGCACUGUGCAAACACGAAAGUGGACGUAUACGGUGUGACGCCUGCCCGGUGCCGGAAGGUUAAUUGAUGGGGUCAGCGCAAGCGAAGCUCUUGAUCGAAGCCCCGGUAAACGGCGGCCGUAACUAUAACGGUCCUAAGGUAGCGAAAUUCCUUGUCGGGUAAGUUCCGACCUGCACGAAUGGCGUAAUGAUGGCCAGGCUGUCUCCACCCGAGACUCAGUGAAAUUGAACUCGCUGUGAAGAUGCAGUGUACCCGCGGCAAGACGGAAAGACCCCGUGAACCUUUACUAUAGCUUGACACUGAACAUUGAGCCUUGAUGUGUAGGAUAGGUGGGAGGCUUGGAAGUGUGGACGCCAGUCUGCAUGGAGCCGACCUUGAAAUACCACCCUUUAAUGUUUGAUGUUCUAACGUUGACCCGUAAUCCGGGUUGCGGACAGUGUCUGGUGGGUAGUUUGACUGGGGCGGUCUCCUCCUAAAGAGUAACGGAGGAGCACGAAGGUUGGCUAAUCCUGGUCGGACAUCAGGAGGUUAGUGCAAUGGCAUAAGCCAGCUUGACUGCGAGCGUGACGGCGCGAGCAGGUGCGAAAGCAGGUCAUAGUGAUCCGGUGGUUCUGAAUGGAAGGGCCAUCGCUCAACGGAUAAAAGGUACUCCGGGGAUAACAGGCUGAUACCGCCCAAGAGUUCAUAUCGACGGCGGUGUUUGGCACCUCGAUGUCGGCUCAUCACAUCCUGGGGCUGAAGUAGGUCCCAAGGGUAUGGCUGUUCGCCAUUUAAAGUGGUACGCGAGCUGGGUUUAGAACGUCGUGAGACAGUUCGGUCCCUAUCUGCCGUGGGCGCUGGAGAACUGAGGGGGGCUGCUCCUAGUACGAGAGGACCGGAGUGGACGCAUCACUGGUGUUCGGGUUGUCAUGCCAAUGGCACUGCCCGGUAGCUAAAUGCGGAAGAGAUAAGUGCUGAAAGCAUCUAAGCACGAAACUUGCCCCGAGAUGAGUUCUCCCUGACCCUUUAAGGGUCCUGAAGGAACGUUGAAGACGACGACGUUGAUAGGCCGGGUGUGUAAGCGCAGCGAUGCGUUGAGCUAACCGGUACUAAUGAACCGUGAGGCUUAACCUU
rnacentral:rRNA from 1 species